GGACCCGCACAAGCGGCGGAGCAUGUGGUUUAAUUCGAUGCAACGCGAAAAAACCUUACCUACUCUUGACAUACUUGGAAACUCUUGUAAUGAGAGUGUGCCUUUUGGAACCAAGAUACAGGUGCUGCAUGGCUGUCGUCAGCUCGUGUCGUGAGAUGUUCCGUUAAGUCGGAUAACGAGCGCAACCCUUACCCUUAUUUGCCAGCGAUUCGGUCGGGAACUAUAAGGGGACUGCCGGUGAUAAGCCGGAGGAAGGUGGGGAUGACGUCAAGUCCUCAUGGCCCUUACAGGCUGGGCUACACACGUGCUACAAUGGCGAUGACAGUGAGCAGCGACCCCGCAAGGGU
rnacentral:rRNA from 1 species